CCUACGGGAGGCAGCAGUGGGGAAUAUUGCACAAUGGGGGAAACUCUGAUGCAGCGACGCCGCGUGAGUGAAGAAGUAAUUCGUUAUGUAAAGCUCUAUCAGCAGGGAAGAAAAUGACUGUACCUGAGUAAGAAUCCCCGGCUAACUACGUGCCUGCAGCCGCGGCAAUACGUAGGGGGCAAGCGUGAUCCGGAUUUACUGGGUGGAAAGGGAGCGUAUACGGCAGUGAAAGUCUGGAGUGAAAGGCGGGGGCUCAACCCCCGGACUGCUCUGGAAACUGUACGGCUGGAGUGCAGGAGAGGUAAGUGGAAUUCGUAGUGUAGCGGUGAAAUGCGUAGAUAUUAGGAAGAACACCAGUGGCGAAGGCGGCUUACUGGACUGUAACUGACGUUGAGGCUCGAAAGCGUGGGGAGCAAACAGGAUUAGAUACCCCAGUAGUC
rnacentral:rRNA from 1 species